rnacentral:rRNA from 1 species
GAUGAACGCUAGCGGGAGGCCUAACACAUGCAAGCCGAGCGGUAGAGAUUCUUCGGAAUCUUGAGAGCGGCGUACGGGUGCGGAACACGUGUGCAACCUGCCUUUAUCAGGGGGAUAGCCUUUCGAAAGGAAGAUUAAUACCCCAUAAUAUAUUUGAUGGCAUCAUUAGAUAUUGAAAGCUUUGGCGGAUAGAGAUGGGCACGCGCAAGAUUAGAUAGUUGGUGAGGUAACGGCUCACCAAGUCGAUGAUCUUUAGGGGGCCUGAGAGGGUGAUCCCCCACACUGGUACUGAGACACGGACCAGACUCCUACGGGAGGCAGCAGUGAGGAAUAUUGGACAAUGGGUUAGCGCCUGAUCCAGCCAUCCCGCGUGAAGGACGACAGCCCUAUGGGUUGUAAACUUCUUUUGUACAGGGAUAAACCUACUCUCGUGAGAGUAGCUGAAGGUACUGUACGAAUAAGCACCGGCUAACUCCGUG